rnacentral:rRNA from 1 species
AACGAACGCUGGCGGCGCGUUUUAAGCAUGCAAGUCGAAGGAUGCGAUUUUAGCAAUAGAGUCGUAGACUGGCGAACGGGUGAGUAACACGUGAAAAUCUAUCUUAAGAUGGGGGAUAGUCGGUAGAAAUACCGGGUAAUACCGCAUGUGCCGAGAGGUGAAAGCUCCAAUUGGAGCGUCUUUAGAUGAGUUUGCGUUCCAUUAGCUAGUUGGUGGGGUAAUGGCCUACCAAGGCGACGAUGGAUAGCCGGCCUGAGAGGGUGUACGGCCACAUUGGGACUGAGACACGGCCCAGACUCCUACGGGAGGCAGCAGCUAAGAAUAUUCCGCAAUGGGAGCAAUCCUGACGGAGCGACGCCGCGUGUAUGAUGAAGGCAAGAAAUGUUGUAAAGUACUUUUGCGCGGGAAGAAUAAUGAUAGGAGUGGAAAGUCUAUCAGAUGACGGUACCGCGCGAAUAAGCCACGGCUAACUACGUG